rnacentral:rRNA from 1 species
CCUACGGGAGGCAGCAGUGAGGAAUAUUGGUCAAUGGCCGGGAGGCUGAACCAGCCAAGUCGCGUGCGGGACGACGGCCCUACGGGUUGUAAACCUCUUUUGUCAGGGAGCAAGGUGCAGGUCGGGACCUGCUGUGAGAGUACCUGAAGAAAAAGCAUCGGCUAACUUCGUGCCAGCAGCCGCGGUAAUACGGAGGAUGCGAGCGUUAUCCGGGUUUAUUGGGUUUAAAGGGUGCGCAGGCGGCGGCUCAAGUCAGCGGUAAAAUCGCGGGGCUCAACCCCGCUCCGCCGUUGAAACUGUGGCCCUUGAGUGCGCGAAGGGUAGGCGGAAUGCGUGGUGUAGCGGUGAAAUGCAUAGAUAUCACGCAGAACUCCGAUCGCGAAGGCAGCCUACCGGCGCGCAACUGACGCUCAUGCACGAAAGCGUGGGUAUCGAACAGGAUUAGAUACCCCAGUAGUC